rnacentral:rRNA from 1 species
AGUGAACGCUGGCGGUAGGCCUAACACAUGCAAGUCGAACGGCAGCACAGUAAGAGCUUGCUCUUACGGGUGGCGAGUGGCGGACGGGUGAGGAAUACAUCGGAAUCUACUUUUUCGUGGGGGAUAACGUAGGGAAACUUACGCUAAUACCGCAUACGACCUACGGGUGAAAGCAGGGGAUCUUCGGACCUUGCGCGAUUGAAUGAGCCGAUGUCGGAUUAGCUAGUUGGCGGGGUAAAGGCCCACCAAGGCGACGAUCCGUAGCUGGUCUGAGAGGAUGAUCAGCCACACUGGAACUGAGACACGGUCCAGACUCCUACGGGGGGCAGCAGUGGAGAAUAUUGGACAAUGGGCGCAAGCCUAAUCCAGCCAUACCGCGUGGGUGAAGAAGGCCUUCGGGUUGUAAAGCCCUUUUGUUGGGAAAGAAAAGCAGCAGGUUAAUACCCCGCUGUUCUGACGGUACCCAAAGAAUAAGCACCGGCUAACUUCGUG